rnacentral:tRNA from 1 species
AGCAGAAUGGCGCAGAGGAAGCACACUGGGCCUAUAACCCAGAGGUUGAUGGAUCGAAACCUUCCUCAGUUG